rnacentral:misc_RNA from 1 species
GAAGAAUGAGACCUCCAAGAGGACGUGGUGGUGGCGGAUUUAGGGGCGGCAGAGAUGGCGGCGGCCGUGGUUUCAGAGGCGGCGGCGGAGGACGUGGCGGUGGCCGGUUUCCUCCUCGAGAUGAAGGUCCCCCUUCUGAAGUCGUAGAGGUGUCUUCUUUUAUGCACGCAUGUGAAGGAGAUGCAGUGACAAAGCUGACAAAUGAAAAAAUCCCUUAUUUUAAUGCACCAAUUUAUCUUCAGAACAAGACACAGAUUGGGAAAGUUGAUGAGAUUUUUGGUCCUAUUAAUGAAUCCCUUUUUUCGAUUAAGAUGAUGGAGGGAAUCAUUGCAACUUCAUAUUCAGCUGGUGAUAAGUUUUACAUUGACCCAGCUAAGCUUUUGCCACUGGCGAGAUUUCUUCCACAGCCCAAGGGAGCACAACAAGCUUUUAGAGGCGGUGGACGAGGUGGAGGAAGAGGUGGUAGAGGUGGACGUGGAGGCGGUGGUGGUUUUCGUGGAGCUAGAGGUGGAGGUGGUGGUUUUCGUGGGGGUAGAGGACCUCCCCGAGGUGGCCGUGGAGGCGGUUUUAGGGGUAGAGGGAGAUUUUAAAAAGAAAUAUGAUGUACUUUUGAUUUUCUCUAUUUUGAUUUGUAAUUCUGAAUGCUGUGAGAACUCAAUUGAGAGAAUGUUAUCAUUAGUUCCUUUUCG